rnacentral:ncRNA from 1 species
GAAACGAUAACAGGACUAAAGUACCCAGAUACUUACCUCAGAGAGGAGAGUGCUGUGGCUGAAAGCCUCUCCGGUAAUCAGGUCUGGAGAAGACCAGCCUGCGCAUUUUUUUUGUUCGGCUGCACACCGUUAGCUGUGCAACACGAGUGAGCGAAAGUUUUUUCGCUAAUCGGGGUGGAACCACGGGAAGGCCUCGUCCCCUUA